CCCGUUCCCACCCCGAUCCCGCUCCGUUCCCAUCCCACCCCUCCACCCCUCAUGCCUUUGUUUGUUUCCCAGUGACACGGCACAUUAGAGAGCUCCUGGAAAGGAACACAAAGAAGAAACCCAAAUUGAGAAAGAAACCCAAGCCCCACCCCGAGGAGCACGAUGGGGUGGCCAUCAGCACAUAUGCCAAGUACUGCUACAACAAGCUGCAGAAGGCCGCCCUCACUGGAGCCAAGAAGGACCUUCCCCCC